GUGAAGGCAGAGAGCCUGGGGCUGGGUGGGUAUUUCUGAAACUGGUUGCUCUACAGAAACCAUCAGUAUCUGACAACCAUCCUCCUAUUCAGUAUUUCACAAUGUGGGGCAAUAAUCCAGGAGGCACAAAUCCUACAGGCUUCCAACAGCCAUAUCCCACUGGCCCAUGGACACAACCACAACCAUUUACCCCUGGAACACAGCCAUUCCCUCCUGGACCAGGGACACAACCUCAGCUGUGUCCAUCUGCACCAGGAGUAUAUCCUCAGCCCUAUCCUUAUGGACCAGGAGUAUAUCCCCAGCCCUAUGUUCAUGGUCAUGGUCACGGUCAUGAGCACAGCCAUAGGCAGGGGCAUGAUCACGGUCAUGGGCAUGGGCAUGGGCAUGGGCAUGAGCAUGGGCAUGGGCAUGGGCAUGGUCAUGA